UACGUAGGGCGCAAGCGUUGUCCGGAAUUAUUGGGCGUAAAGAGCUCGUAGGCGGCUUGUCACGUCGGUUGUGAAAGCCCGGGGCUUAACCCCGGGUCUGCAGUCGAUACGGGCAGGCUAGAGUGUGGUAGGGGAGAUCGGAAUUCCUGGUGUAGCGGUGAAAUGCGCAGAUAUCGGGAGGAACACCAGUAGCGAAGGCGGCACUCUGGGCCGGUACUGACGCUGAGGAGCGAAAGCGCGGGGAGCGAACAGG
rnacentral:rRNA from 1 species